AUUGAACGCUGGCGGCAGGCCUAACACAUGCAAGUCGGGCGAGGCGCGGGCGGGUGAGUAAUGUAUGGGGAUGUGCGUGAUGGAGGGGGAUAAAUUCGGGAAACGGUAGAUAAUCGCGAAAACUCUGAGAUGAACAUAUAUGGGAUUCGCUUGUAGGUGAGGUAACGGCUCACCUAGGCGACGAUCCCUAGCUGGUCUGAGAGGAUGAUCAGCCACACUGGGACUGAGACACGGCCCAGACUCCUACGGGAGGCAGCAGUGGGGAAUAUUGCACAAUGGGCGCAAGCCUGAUGCAGCCAUGCCGCGUGUAUGAAGAAGGCCUUCGGGUUGUAAAGUACUUUCAGUCGGGAGGCGUUACCGACAGAAGAAGCACCGGCUAACUCCGUGCCAGCAGCCGCUGUAAUAC
rnacentral:rRNA from 1 species